UAGGGAAUCUUCCACAAUGGACGCAAGUCUGAUGGAGCAACGCCGCGUGAGUGAAGAAGGUUUUCGGAUCGUAAAGCUCUGUUGUUGGUGAAGAAGGAUAGAGGCAGUAACUGGUCUUUAUUUGACGGUAAACAACCAGAAAGUCACGGCUAACUACGUGCCAGCAGCCGCGGUAAUACGUAGGUGGCAAGCGUUGUCCGGAUUUAUUGGGCGUAAAGCGAGCGCAGGCGGAAUGAUAAGUCUGAUGUGAAAGCCCACGGCUCAACCGUGGAACUGCAUCCGAAACUGUCAUUCUUGAGUGCAGAAGAGGAGAGUGGAAUUCCAUGUGUAGCGGUGGAAUGCGUAGAUAUAUGGAAGAACACCAGUGGCGAAGGCGGCUCUCUGGUCUGCAACUGACGCUGAGGCUCGAAAGCAUGGGUAGCGAACAGG
rnacentral:rRNA from 1 species